rfam:Chlorobium ferrooxidans DSM 13031 ctg57, whole genome shotgun sequence.
CAAGUUACUCACAUGAAAGGCAUAGCCAACCAUCAUGCCACCGAGUCAUGCCUCGAUAAUUAGCAUUGGAAUGAGGAAGCGUUGACAGGGGAAAGCGCCGAGUGACCC